rnacentral:tRNA from 1 species
GCCGAAAUGGCAGGAUAUCAGCGGUUCCGGUCAGACUGAAAAUCCGCGUGUCGGUGGUUCGAUUCCGCCCCUGGGCACCA